UAACUCGCCAAAGAGAUGACUUGGUUGUU
rnacentral:piRNA from 1 species